GUGGGGAAUCUUAGACAAUGGGCGCAAGCCUGAUCUAGCCAUGCCGCGUGAGCGAUGAAGGCCUUAGGGUUGUAAAGCUCUUUCGUGGGGGAAGAUAAUGACUGUACCCCAAGAAGAAGCCCCGGCUAACUCCGUGCCAGCAGCCGCGGUAAUACGGAGGGGGCUAGCGUUGUUCGGAAUUACUGGGCGUAAAGCGCACGUAGGCGGACUGGAAAGUCAGGGGUGAAAUCCCGGGGCUCAACCCCGGAACUGCCUUCAAAACUAUCAGUCUGGAGUUCGAGAGAGGUGAGUGGAAUUCCGAGUGUAGAGGUGAAAUGCGGAGAUAUUCGGAGGAACACCAGUGGCGAAGGCGGCUCACUGGCUCGAUACUGACGCUGAGGUGCGAAAGCGUGGGGAGCAAACAGGAUUAGAUACCCCAGUAGUCC
rnacentral:rRNA from 1 species